AUGUAUACCACCAGUCUGUUACGACUUGAUUGGACGGCGCCAUCUUGAUUAACAUUUGCCAUGUUUGUUAAUACAUAAGCUGUCGAGCUUACAUUACGUGAGGUGCACGAGUCCAAGACUCUUCAUUUAUCACCAGGAGAUGACAAUCACACCUAGAUGUACGGUCACCAUCAACGAGAUGUUCAAGUUUAGCUGAUACCUUAAUUCUCCAUCUGUUUGAGAACAGUGAGAAAUGCCAUCAUAAGAGAUAAUGUUUCCUGUUCAAUGAUUAAGAAAACGUUUCCCCGACAAGGAAUUCUCUCCACGCCAUCCUUUGUCCUAUGACCUUAUGCACUCUUGUUAUCUUGUUUACAAACAAAGAAAUGACAGGAGAUAUGAAAACCUACAGACAACACCGGGUCAGUGAUUUUGGCUAAGAUAUUCUCUCCUGACACUGAUGUCAAUUAACAUGGAUGUGAUCAGAGUAAUACAUCCCCUGAUGUAACGUAAUUGUAGCCAGUUGUUCAAUAGUCAUCAAUUUAGCCUUGUUUUGUAUUUUUGUGUCUC